rnacentral:rRNA from 1 species
UGGGGAAUUUUGGACAAUGGGGGCAACCCUGAUCCAGCCAUCCCGCGUGUGCGAUGAAGGCCUUCGGGUUGUAAAGCACUUUUGGCAGGGAAGAAACAGCCUGGGAUAAUACCCCGGGCGACUGACGGUACCUGCAGAAUAAGCACCGGCUAACUACGUGCCAGCAGCCGCGGUAAUACGUAGGGUGCAAGCGUUAAUCGGAAUUACUGGGCGUAAAGCGUGCGCAGGCGGUUCGGAAAGAAAGGUGUGAAAUCCCAGGGCUUAACCUUGGAACUGCACUUUAACUACCGAGCUAGAGUACGUCAGAGGGGGGUAGAAUUCCACGUGUAGCAGUGAAAUGCGUAGAGGUGUGGAGGAAUACCGAUGGCGAAGGCAGCCCCCUGGGAUGAUACUGACGCUCAUGCACGAAAGCGUGGGGAGCAAACAGGAUUAGAUACCCUGGUAGUCCACGCCCUAAACGAUGUCAACUAGCUGUUGGGGUUUAUUAACCUUAGUAGCGCAGCUAACGCGUGAAGUUGACCGCCUGGGGAGUACGGUCGCAAGAUUAAAACUUAAA